UUUUUUGCCGCGUGUUGAAUGAAGAUGAUGUCGAAAAGCAAGGAACUGAAAAUGGAGGAUUUUUUUAUCAAUCCUACCUUUAUUGGAAGGUAAUAUGCUUUAUUUAAUAUCAAUCAUUGUAGUAGAGUACUUAGACUGCCGAAAUAGAUUGAAAUUUAGGACAAAGAGCCCGAAUUUAAUGCGAUAUUUCGGCAUAAAGUUUGUGCUUUGCUUUGCACGUGGUUCGCUUUAUGGCCGGUUGUCGAACUUUAAACCGUAUUUUAGUUCGUAAUUAUUGUCAAUACUAUAGACCAAUUGACUAAAAAGACUAAUUAAGAUCUAGAAUUGUUUAAGUUGUCGAAAAAAGUUGUUCUGUCUGAGUUCUUGCCAAAAAAUUUUUAUAUUAAUAAAUGCACCAAUAUUUCUAUAUAAUUUUUCAUCAGCUUGUACGUUUAUACUACAUUUUCAAUCUUGCGUUUAAUAAUAUGGUGUUUUUGUACAUUCAUUUACAGAAAAAAGCCUUGCUUUAGCAACAUUAUAACGUAUUUGAUUCUUGCUUGCAAAACAAAAAAAUUGAAAAUAAAAUUUAAUAAAAAAAACUGAGUGAAAUUUGCUACAAAUACAUAAGGCCAUGUAAAAAAAUAUCCCGGUUUAUCAUCAGUGGCAGCAGAAAAACCCUGUGCGGGCGGCGGAUUUAUUUUUGUUUUUUACCAAAUCACAUUUAGUAGGUGCACGGAAAAAUAUGCUCAAACGCACAGCACAGUUGUAAUGGUAUAAUAUUUUCAAUGCUAUUACACUUUAAAUUAAUAUUCCAAAGGCCCAAGCGCAAUAUCAUACAUGUUGUCAAUAUGAACUUGUGUUUUCAAAAUGGCCGACCAUCGUGAAAAUCGUGUGUGGGUUUCUCACAUGGUCCACCAAAAAUAGUGAUUUUUAAAAAUCCAUUCGGCACAAAUAAUGGAUGCGGGCACUAAUGAUCAACUGGGAUAUUUUUUUACAUGGCCUAAAGCAAAAUCCAGAAUUGUGCUUCUUGACGUCACUGCAAGCUGGUGUAAAUUUUGAUAGGUGGAGCACAGGGGCUUCUCGGUAAGCGGGCUAGAAUUGAAGAUGCUGUAACGUCCAAAAUGUAAACAAACGUUUUGUUUACAUUUUGAACUGCUAUAUUUGUAAAAUAUGAUAAACUAACUGAAUAUCUAACACUUUUCUGGUUCGCUAUGCUUGUAAAUGAAUAUAAACUCUACAUUUCAAGUAAAAAAAGUUAGAGAGAUUCAAAAUUUGGGCAAUGUUUAUAUCUGCGAGUCUCCCUUUGUUAUGAGCAGAACUGAUGCGCAGAACAGACUUUACAGCAUCUAGAUUGAUCUAAAGUUCUUACGCUGAGGGUGGUUUGUAAAGAAGAUUGUUCUUUUGAAGUACAUCUACUCCAGGCUCAAAAAUAUGCACCAGUAGCAGUGUAAAGCCUUUUUUUGUAAUAGGCUUGGCCAGGGUUCGAAGUAACAGAUAGCGAUUUGCUAUCCGUUUUGUGGAUUUUGCUACUCAUCUUGCUAUACAGUAAUAUAAAAAAAUCACUAUUCAACCUGAGAAGAUUUCACAUGUGAAAAAGUAAAACGGAUAACAUUGGAAACGUUUGUUUUCAAACAAUUCUUUGUGUAUUUUGAGGCGAAACAUUCUCUCAUAUGCACUGAUAUUUUAUUUUAUACUGAUUAGACUGCUGAAUUUUUAUAACAGCUUUUCUGGUUGAAGAUCGAAUGCUCAAUCCUUUUUUACAGUACAUAGUGGAAAUUCGCUAUUCACUUUUUAUUGCACGAGUCAAUGGGUAGAAAUUCGCUAUUCACUUUUAAGUAUUUAAUUCGAACCCUGGGCUUGGCAAUGAUUCAGAGAAUUUCAAAGAAAUUAAGCGGAUGCCUGGAGUCAAAAUGAAGUUGAAAAAAAUUCCAAUCAAUGGUCAGCAUUUUUGUGAUCAAAUAUCUUGAACAUUACAAAAAAUAAAAAUAUGUGCAUGGUUCAGGUUUUCGUAUCUGAAAAAAGCCGGAUAGGGUAGGUCGGAAAACAAGUUUUCUUCAAAUAUUUUUGGUUUGACAUUGGUCCAAAAUUGCUGUGAUCUGUUGGCAUAUUGCCUAAACAUUUCAAGAUGCAAUAACUGUGGGCAACAGACAAUAUAUUUGACAUCAAGUUACAUCAUAAAGCAAACAACAAAAAAUAGGGUAGGCAGCUAAGCAAACAACCCAACCAUAUAUAUAUAUAUAUAUAUAUAUAUAUAUAUAUAUAUAUAUAUAUAUAUAUAUAUAUAUAUAUAUAUAUAUAUAUAUAUAUAUAUAUAUAUNNNNNNNNNNNNNNNNNNNNCCCCCAAUAAUUUGCUAAUAAUCAUUCUUUUUUCAAAAUCAUGCAAACUUUAUCAUUUUAUCUGUGACAAACUGCAAAGAAUGAAGAUAUUACUCAUACUCCAGAUCGUUCCUCGCGUAGAAAUUUUAGCUGAAUUUCUGUCGCGCAUUUUCAAGAAAAUCCCACAAAAUCUGCACAUUUUUGAUGAACUAAUGAUUUAUUUUGUCUUUGGCGUGUUGGGUCUUGCGAAAGAAAACUCUGAAAAUGCCAUUUCAGACCAUCUAGAGACUCCAGAUUUUCGAAAUUUUCUCAAAUGUUCUGCCUUCAUUUCCGCGCAACUGCCAUUUACGACGAAAAUUCCCGCCGCGCAUUUAUAAUACUACAGUCUGGCCCAUACUUUCCUGUAAAUUUCGACAUACUAAAACGCUGUUUUCUGACUAUCAGAAUUCUGUUAAAUCUUCCCCCAAAGUCCAGGAAAUGGCAUUUUAGAGACUCUAAAUUUAAAAAUUUUCUCGGGCCUUCGGCCCUCGCUUUCAGCCCCCCCAAUCGAAAAGAGCUUCCUACGGCCCUGUUGAGUGACUAAAUACUCCAAAGACUGGGAAAAGGCAACGUGAAGACGGUAGCUAUCAAUGAUAUAUAUAUAUAUAUAUAUAUAUAUAUAUAUAUAUAUAUAUAUAUAUAUAUAUAUAUAUAUAUAUAUAUAUAUAUAUAUAUAUAUAUAUAUACCAGGGCAAAGAAAAUAGGGUUGACUGGAAAAGAUUUUUUUGUUUCACUCUCUGGUACUCAGCACAUGUUCAUAUUGAGUUUGUCAUCUCGCUAGCCGUAAAAAAAAUACCUGUGGUUCCGGUUUCAUAUCGUGAAAAAAUUAGGGUCGGUAGGUCGGAAAUAUAUUUUUUAAAAUAUUUUUUCAUGGUUUUGCCGUUGUUUUUUUUUUUGCUGUGCGAUUUGCAGUAGAGUCCGACAUCAAUAUUAACUAGAGAUGCGUAUUUCCCAUGGACGAAUUUAGGCAAUUUGGUUCAAUAAUUAGUGUGACAACAGAUGCCAUUUUGGCACACUGUAUAGGCUGGAUCGAUAUCGCAAAUACCGAUAUACCGCCAUCAGAAUACCAGUAAAUUCCGGUAUUUUUAACGUGUUUUUAAGUGCUGACCGUCAAGAAAAAUCAAGUUUUGACAAAAUAUUAAUGUGGCACAUACUGUUAUUAGUGCAAAUGUCACAAGAUUCGCAUUAUCAAGCUANNNNNNNNNNNNNNNNNNNNAUAGGCUGGAUCGAUAUCGCAAAUACCGAAUACCGAUAUACCGCCAUCAGAAUACCGGUAAAUACCGGUAUUCCGGUAUUUUUAACGUGUUUUUUUUUUAGCCAAACUGAAGUGCUGACCGUCAAGAAAAAUCAAGUUUUGACAAAAUAUUAAUGUGGCACAUACUGUUAUUAGUGCAAAUGUCACAAGAUUCGCAUUAUCAAGCUAUGUUAACAAUUAACAGCGCUAAGCGGCAAUUAUUAGUAGGCCGUCGAUUGGGCGUCGAAGUGUUGAAUCAUUCAGAAAAAUAUUCGUUUUGUAUAUAAAUUCAGAUAGUGUUUCAGUAAGCUGCUAAUAGUUAUAAACAUAAAAAACGUUGCAUUUUUAAAACUAACACAUAAACAAGUUAGCAUGUCAGUUAAAUAAGAUUAAAAACAACAAAAAGUUACCCUCUUAUACUGCCCGAUAAAAAAAACUUGAAAAGCCAGAAAAGGUUUUCGCCAAAGUUUUCUUUUUUGUCAAAAUUUUCCUUUAAAAAUUUCGCCCUUUUUAUAUUUCCGAUUAAGGCGAUUUAAUAAACAAGACGUCUGGUAUUGCUAAUUAUGCUAAACCAAAGCUGCUAGAACUGUAAGAACAAAAUCAUGCAUCUGUGAGUAUUAACUUUGCUUUCUAAACGUGAUUGUAAGCAAGUUUGACUUGAAAUAGCGUUUCAUUUCGGUAUUAGGCAGCAAAAUACCGAAAUGUCGGUAUAUCGGUAUUUUUAAAUUGUCAAUAUCGCCAAACCGGUAUCUAAACAAAUACCGGUAUAUCGGAUAUAUCCGGUAUAUCGAUCCAGCCUACGCUGUAUGAGCAGCCCGCAACCACCUGGAGAAAAUAGUGUCGCACGGUCAAUUGCGUUGAAAAAAUAAUAGGGUCGGCAGAAGAAAAUAGGGUCAGUCGGGAACCGGAACCACAGGUAUUUUUUUACGCCCUAGCCAAGCUAUCACAUCCUCAGUAAAAUUCUCAUAAAUGUUUGUAGAUGUACAGUGGAAGUUUGAAGAAUGUUGCAAGCCCCUGCCUCGAGAUCUCGUGAUUACGAAAAACGGACACAUUCCAAGAUCCUGAAUAAGUGGUAAAUGAUUUUUCUUCUACUUAUUUUUAACAUUCUCCUUGUAUUUUUUGGACAAUUUUCUUUGUAAUAUAUUAAUUUGUUUCAUGUUCUCACUAGUGAGUUUUUAAAAUUUUCUAGAUGUGUGUUGCAAUUUCCAAGAAUGUCUCAAGUUGUUGGCUGAAGUGUUUUUGAUCACAAAAAUGAACACCGUCAUUGGAAAGUAUAUAAAAGGUCUUAAUAUUUUCCUGUUUUAUCUUACAUGAAAUGCUUUGAACAUUAUGUGACUGCUUGUGAUCAAUGGUUUCAAAAAUCCUUGCAGAAUAUUGCAAAAGCAGAAUGACCAUCUUAUUUAUGACACAAAUUCAACAAAAAUAACAAACACAAUCUUUAUGCCUAAGUAUGGUGAGUGCACAACAAUUGCACUCAUCAUAUUCUAUUAUUAC
rnacentral:lncRNA from 1 species